AAUGAACGCUGGCGGCAUGCCUAACACAUGCAAGUCGAACGAAGGCUUCGGCCUUAGUGGCGCACGGGUGCGUAACGCGUGGGAAUCUGCCCUUGGGUUCGGAAUAACAGUUAGAAAUGACUGCUAAUACCGGAUGAUGUCGUAAGACCAAAGAUUUAUCGCCCAAGGAUGAGCCCGCGUAGGAUUAGCUAGUUGGUGGGGUAAAGGCCUACCAAGGCGACGAUCCUUAGCUGGUCUGAGAGGAUGAUCAGCCACACUGGGACUGAGACACGGCCCAGACUCCUACGGGAGGCAGCAGUGGGGAAUAUUGGACAAUGGGCGAAAGCCUGAUCCAGCAAUGCCGCGUGAGUGAUGAAGGCCUUAGGGUUGUAAAGCUCUUUUACCCGGGAUGAUAAUGACAGUACCGGGAGAAUAAGCACCGGCUAACUUCGUG
rnacentral:rRNA from 1 species